GAGAAGAGGCACCGAAGCAUCAACUAUCUUGGAACUCUGCCAACUAGAACCUCGGCCUCAACUGACACAUCCAAACUAAUGGCUGAGUGUCUUUUUUAGCAGCAUCAAGCAACUCCUUUACAAUACCACCCAAAGUAAUUUUCCUGAAGAAAUUCUCCUUGUAUCUAACUUCAUUCAGGUUCUUGGGGCUUGCCAAAUAGCCAGCAAUGUGACCUUAACUUGGUCAGUUGACAUCUCUGGUCUUAAGUUUCCUAAUCUGCAACAUUUGAAGGUUUAUUUUCUAAACGUUUUUACUUUAGUACUAAUUUCUGUGAGACAAUCAAGCUAUUCAAUGUUAGGUUGAGGUAUGUAAAUCAUUCCUGCCAGCCUUUGUACGAGGUGGUUCUGGUAUCACUGUGGCCCAGCAUGUGUCUGUCUAUCAGUGUUGGCAGCAAGCACAGAUCAAGGUUCCUGUGACCUGCAGCAAUUGGAUUACAAGAUUAGAUCAAUUUGCAAAGUACACCAAGAUCACAGCAGUUGCCAUCCAUUAGCCGCUGAGACAAGUGAUGUCACCUGCCAAUACUGUAGAUUGAAUAACCAGGGAAGGCUGAGGAAUGCAAGUGAAUGUAAAAACCACCUGGAGGGAAGCAUUGCAGCAAGAAAGGAACAGCAAGUGCAGAGGCCUGAGGCAGAACCAGCAGGGAAAAUGCUUUGAGGUGAGGCAGGUUCCAUGAAAACCUGGAAGAAAUAUUCCUGAGGACCAUCCAACACCAUUUCCCUGAGAGACAAGCUGUAAGUGCUGUUCUAGUUACAGAUCCGAGUCCCUGGUACAUUGAUAUCAAGUAAGGGUGCAUGCAGCUCAGAAGGCAGUUUCCAUUACACUGGACAAGAGUGUGGCUGCCUGAGUCCUAGAACUGCAGUGGCUUCUGCUGACAAUGUGAGGAGUAGCUGCCCUGUCCAGAGUGUGGCCCCGCACGCUGCCCCCUCCCCUGGAGGGACUGAAGAGAACAGCUUGGAGCAUGCCCUUCCCUUUCCCUUAUCUCGCCCACUAUGCUAAUGCUGCUCAUCCCUCAAGAUCCGAGUUAUUCCUCCUCAAUUCAAUACACACCAAUCAACUG
rnacentral:lncRNA from 1 species